AACUUUUAGCAACGGAUCACUUGGCUCUCGCAUCGAUGAAGAACGCUGCGAAAUGCGAUAAGUAAUGUGAAUUGCAGAAUUCAGUGAAUCAUCGAAUCUUUGAACGCACCUUGCGCCCUUUGGCUAUUCUGAAGGGCAUGCCUGUUUGAGUAUCAUGAACACCUCAACUCUCAUGGUCCGCCAUGAUGAGCUUGGACUUUGGGGGUCUUGCCGGCCCAGUGUCGGCUCCUCUCAAAUGGAUCAGCUUGCCAGUGUUUGGUGGCGUCACAGGUGUGAUAACUAUCUACGCUUGUGGUUUUCUGCCAUAUAACCUUCAGUGAUGGAGGUUCUCUGGAGCUCACAGAUGUCUCUCCUUGGGGAGGACAGCUUUUGAACGUUUGAUCUCAAAUCAGGUAGGACUACCCGCUGAACUUAAGCAUAUCAAUAAGCGGAGGCU
rnacentral:misc_RNA from 1 species